rnacentral:misc_RNA from 1 species
ACAAUACUGUUCUUCAGGGUUUUCGAGUAAACUUAUCAUGGAUGCCAGACUCUGAUUCCAUCCAGACUUCGGAUCAAAACAACGGCCAAGUAUUUCUGCACGAUUAUCAAGAAAUACAUUGAAAAGUUCACUCUCAUUAUCAAAUUUCAUUCUUUCCUGAUUUCCAAAUAGAACUAUAUCUCCCAUCCCAUAAGUGUCAUAUUCAAGGAUCUUGACAACUGAACUCAGGACACGGGCUGCCACUUCCAACACUGCAAUAUUAGUAGGGGCACAAGUAAGUGUUCUGCAUUUCAUUGUAAAUAGAGCAUAUAUCAGAAAACCAACGGUCUUUGUUUUCCCAGUUCCUGGAGGACCCCAUAUUAAUUUGACAGUAUACUGAUGAGAGCAACCCCUUCCACCGAUACAGCUCAAAACAGCAUCUUUUUGGGAGUCAUUUAAGUUAAAAGAGCGGCACAUGUCCACCAUGCGUGACCAAAAAACCCCAUUAUUUUCUCCAGAUGAGCAAGUGAUACACUUCUCAUAAUCACUGGAAUUACUUUGCAGCACUUCCUUAAUAAUGUUCACGUUCUUCCCUUCCAACUCUGAGUUUAAUGCUCUCCAUAUACGAAUAUUUGUCGUCAAGCUUAUCAAAUAAACAGCAAAAAGUGUUUGUUUCUCCUUCUUCUUCUGCAUAUCUUGUUCAAUCAUGAUGGGCUUUGACGAGAGUAUUGAGAGUGCACCAGAAUCUUCACCUUUGACUGCAUGAACAUAAGCAAUAAGGUAGGAUUGUUUGGAUCUGC